rnacentral:rRNA from 1 species
GGAAGCUUGCUUCCUAUGAAAUCGAGUGGCAAACGGGUGAGUAACGCGUAAACAACCUGCCCUUCGGAUGGGGAUAACAGCCGGAAACGGCUGCUAAUACCGAAUACGAUCUUUUCGUCGCAUGACGGAAAGAAGAAAGGAUGGCCUCUAUACAAAGCUAUCGCCGAAGGAGGGGUUUGCGUCUGAUUAGCUGGUUGGAGGGGUAACGGCCCAACAAGGCGAUGAUCAGUAGCCGGUCUGAGAGGAUGAACGGCCACAUUGGGACUGAGACACGGCCCAGACUCCUACGGGAGGCAGCAGUGGGGAAUCUUCCGCAAUGGACGAAAGUCUGACGGAGCAACGCCGCGUGAGUGAAGAAGGUCUUCGGAUUGUAAAGCUCUGUUAUACGGGACGAAAAAGACGGAUGCCAACAGUAUCCGUCCGUGACGGUACCGUAAGAGAAAGCCACGGCUAACUACGUGCCAGCAGCCGCGGUAAUACGUAGGUGGCAAGCGUUGUCCGGAAUUAUUGGGCGUAAAGGGCGCGCAGGCGGUUCGGUAAGUCUGUCUUAAAAGUGCGGGGCUUAACCCCGUGAGGGGACGGAAACUGUCGAACUUGAGUGUCGGAGAGGAAAGCGGAAUUCCUAGUGUAGCGGUGAAAUGCGUAGAUAUUAGGAGGAACACCGGUGGCGAAAGCGGCUUUCUGGAC